AUCCUUCAGCAGCUGGCCGACGGCACAUUUGAUGAGGAUAAGUACAUAAUUGGAAAGCGAGUUGAUCACUAUAUGACUCGCGCCACUGAUAAUAAACGUGCCACGAAGAAGGAAGGGACGGGUUUGGGCUCAGCUGCAUCCCCGACUUGG